GACGAACGCUGGCGGCGUGCCUAAUACAUGCAAGUUGAGCGCUGAAGGUUGGUACUUGUACCAACUGGAUGAGCAGCGAACGGGUGAGUAACGCGUGGGGAAUCUGCCUUUGAGCGGGGGACAACAUUUGGAAACGAAUGCUAAUACCGCAUAAAAACUUUAAACACAAGUUUUAAGUUUGAAAGAUGCAAUUGCAUCACUCAAAGAUGAUCCCGCGUUGUAUUAGCUAGUUGGUGAGGUAAAGGCUCGCCAAGGCGAUGAUACAUAGCCGACCUGAGAGGGUGAUCGGCCACAUUGGGACUGAGACACGGCCCAAACUCCUACGGGAGGCAGCAGUAGGGAAUCUUCGGCAAUGGACGAAAGUCUGACCGAGCAACGCCGCGUGAGUGAAGAAGGUUUUCGGAUCGUAAAACUCUGUUGGUAGAGAAGAACGUUGGUGAGAGUGGAAAGCUCAUCAAGUGACGGUAACUACCCAGAAGGGGACGGCUAACUACGUG
rnacentral:rRNA from 1 species